rnacentral:rRNA from 1 species
GUGGUUUAAUUCGAUGAUACGCGAGGGAACUUACCCUGGGCUCGAACGUAAGAUGACUGUAGGUGAAAGCUUACAUCUCUUCGGAGCAUUUUACGAGGUGCUGCAUGGUUGUCGUCAGCUCGUGCCGUGAGGUGUCGGGUUAAGUCCCAUAACGAGCGCAACCCUACCUUUAGUUGCCAUCAGGUUAAGCUGGGGACUCUAAAGGAACUGCCUACGCAAGUAGUGAGGAAGGCGGGGAUGACGUCAAAUCAGCACGGCCCUUACGUCCAGGGCUACACACGUGCUACAAUGGCCGAUACAGAGGGCAGCUACCUGGUGACAGGAUGCAAAUCUCCAAAGUCGGUCUCAGUUCGGAUCGGAGUCUGCAACCCGACUCCGUGAAGUUGGAUUCGCUAGUAAUCGCGCAUCAGCCAUGGCGCGGUGAAUACGUUCCCGGGCCUU